rnacentral:rRNA from 1 species
CUGGCAGCGUGCUGAUACAUGCAAGUAGUACGCUGAAGCUUGGUGCUUGCACCGAGCGGAUGAGUUGCGAACGGGUGAGUGACGCGUAGGUGACCUGCCUGGUAUUGGGGGAUUAUUAUUGGAAACGAUAGCUCAUACCGCAUAACAGUCGACAUUGCAUGAUGUUGAUUUGAAAGGGGCAUAUGCUCCACUACCAGAUGGACCUGCGUUGUAUUAGCUAGUUGGUGAGGUAACGGCUCACCAAGGCGACGAUACAUAGCCGACCUGAGAGGGUGAUCGGCCACACUGGGACUGAGACACGGCCCAGACUCCUACGGGAGGCAGCAGUAGGGAAUCUUCGGCAAUGGACGGAAGUCUGACCGAGCAACGCCGCGUGAGUGAAGAAGGUUUUCGGAUCGUAAAGCUCUGUUGUAAGAGAAGAACGAGUGUGAGAGUGGAAAGUUCACACUGUGACGGUAACUUAC